rnacentral:rRNA from 1 species
AGUGAACGCUGGCGGUAGGCCUAAUACAUGCAAGUCGAACGGCAGCACAGUAAGAGCUUGCUCUUACGGGUGGCGAGUGGCGGACGGGUGAGGAAUACAUCGGAAUCUACUUUUUCGUGGGGGAUAACGUAGGGAAACUUACGCUAAUACCGCAUACUACCUACGGGUGAAAGCAGGGGAUCUUCGGACCUUGCGCGAUUGAAUGAGCCGAUGUCGGAUUAGCUAGUUGGCGAGGUAAAGGCCCACCAAGGCGACGAUCCGUAGCUGGUCUGAGAGGAUGAUCAGCCACACUGGAACUGAGACACGGUCCAGACUCCUACGGGAGGCAGCAGUGGGGAAUAUUGGACAAUGGGCGCAAGCCUGAUCCAGCAAUACCGCGUGGGUGAAGAAGGCCUUCGGGUUGUAAAGCCCUUUUGUUGGGAAAGAAAAGCAGCAGGUUAAUACGCCGCUGUUCUGACGGUACCCAAAGAGUAAGCACCGGCUAACUUCGUG